GCCUUUUUAGUUCAGUUGGUAGAGCAGAGGACUGAAAAUCCUCGUGUCGUUGGUUCGAGUCCAGCAGGAGGCG
rnacentral:tRNA from 1 species